CCCGCACAAGCGGUGGAGCAUGUGGUUUAAUUCGAAGCAACGCGAAGAACCUUACCAGGUCUUGACAUCCCCUGACAACCGAGAGAUCGGGCGUUCCCCUUCGGGGGACAGGGUGACAGGUGGUGCAUGGUUGUCGUCAGCUCGUGUCGUGAGAUGUUGGGUUAAGUCCCGCAACGAGCGCAACCCUCGACCUUAGUUGCCAGCAUUCAGUUGGGCACUCUAAGGUGACUGCCGGCUAAAAGUCGGAGGAAGGUGGGGAUGACGUCAAAUCAUCAUGCCCCUUAUGACCUGGGCUACAAACGUGAUACAAUGGCUGAAACAAAGGGCAGCGAAGGAGCGAUCUGGAGCGAAACCCAAAAAAGCAGUCUCAGUUCGGAUUGAAGUCUGCAACUCGACUUCAUGAAGUCGGAAUCGCUAGUAAUCGCGGAUCAGAACGCCGCGGUGAAUACGUUCUCGGGGUUU
rnacentral:rRNA from 1 species